UGGGGAAUAUUGGACAAUGCGGGAAACCGUGAUCCAGCAAUGCCGCGUGAGUGAUGAAGGCCUUAGGGUUGUAAAGCUCUUUUACCAGGGAUGAUAAUGACAGUACCUGGAGAAUAAGCUCCGGCUAACUCCGUGCCAGCAGCCGCGGUAAUACGGAGGGAGCUAGCGUUGUUCGGAAUUACUGGGCGUAAAGCGCGCGUAGGCGGCUAUUCAAGUCAGGGGUGAAAUCCCGGGGCUCAACCCGGAACGGCCGCCGAUACUGGCAGCCUUGAGUCCGAGAGAGGUGAGUGGAAUUCCGAGUGUAGAGGUGAAAUUCGUAGAUAUUCGGAGGAACACCAGUGGCGAAGGCGGCUCACUGGCGCGGUACUGACGCUGAGGUGCGAAAGCGUGGGGAGCAAACAGGAUUAGAUACCCCCGUAGUCC
rnacentral:rRNA from 1 species